GGUGUCAUUUGCAUCAGUUUUGUGACAACAGUCGAACAAGAUGAAAGGUUUUGUGCUAUUCCUGGUUGUCGUGCUUCUUGCGUACACGUACGCCGCACCACAGGCAACUAACUAUGGUGAUGUGUCGGCAAAUUCCGGUAGCUCCGCCUCUGGAGCCGUGUCAGGCUCCAAUUUUGGCCAUGACGCAUUCAGACCAGCUGCACGUGACGUAAGAUGGUGUGGUCUUUUGUGGCUGUAUCCUUGCUAAAAUACGACAGUGAAUACCAAGUGGCUGAAGAACACUCGAUUGUCGGUAUUUUAGUUCUAGUUAUUUUUUAUACGUAAACUAAGUUAAAGAUUAUAUUGAAAAAUAUUUCUAUAUAAACAGAAAGAGAGUUUAGAAAAUACUAAAAAUUUCAUUCAAAAUAAUAUGGAAUAAAUGAUUAUA